UAGUCUUAAUAAUCGCUCUGUGCC
rnacentral:piRNA from 1 species